rnacentral:rRNA from 1 species
AGGGAUCAUUACUGAGUUUACGCUCUAUAUACCCUUUGUGAACAUACCUAUAACUGUUGCUUCGGCGGGUAGGGUCUCCGUGACCCUCCCGGCCUCCCGCCCCCGGGCGGGUCGGCGCCCGCCGGAGGAUAACCAAACUCUGAUUUAACGACGUUUCUUCUGAGUGGUACAAGCAAAUAAUCAAAACUUUUAACAACGGAUCUCUUGGUUCUGGCAUCGAUGAAGAACGCAGCGAAAUGCGAUAAGUAAUGUGAAUUGCAGAAUUCAGUGAAUCAUCGAAUCUUUGAACGCACAUUGCGCCCGCCAGCAUUCUGGCGGGCAUGCCUGUUCGAGCGUCAUUUCAACCCUCAAGCUCUGCUUGGUGUUGGGGCCCUACAGCUGAUGUAGGCCCUCAAAGGUAGUGGCGGACCCUCCCGGAGCCUCCUUUGCGUAGUAACUUUACGUCUCGCACUGGGAUCCGGAGGGACUCUUGCCGUAAAAACCCCCAAUUUUCCAAAGGUUGACCUCGGAUCAGGUAGGAAUACCCGCUGAACUUAA